rnacentral:rRNA from 1 species
CAGCAGCCGCGGGAAAACGGAGGGGGCUAGCGUUGUUCGGAAUUACUGGGCGUAAAGCGCACGUAGGCGGCUUGGUAAGUUAGAGGUGAAAGCCCGGAGCUCAACUCCGGAAUUGCCUUUAAGACUGCCGAGCUAGCAGGUGAGAGAGGUAAGUGGAAUUCCGAGUGUAGAGGUGAAAUUCGUAGAUAUUCGGAAGAACACCAGUGGCGAAGGCGGCUUACUGGCUCAUACUGGACGCUGAGGUGCGAAAGCGUGGGGAGCAAACAGGAUUAGAUACCCCAGUAGUCCCUGUCUCUUAUAC